rnacentral:rRNA from 1 species
UACGUAGGGGGCAAGCGUUGUCCGGAUUUAUUGGGCGUAAAGAGCGUGUAGGCGGCCAAGCAGGUCCGCUGUGAAAACUCGGAGGCUCAACCUCGAGACGUCGGUGGAAACCGUUUGGCUAGAGUCCGGAAGAGGAGAGUGGAAUUCCCGGUGUAGCGGUGAAAUGCGCAGAUAUCGGGAAGAACACCCGUGGCGAAGGCGGCUCUCUGGGCCGAUACUGACACUGAGGAGCGAAAAGCGUGGGGAGCGAACAGG